AGAACACACUUCCACGUCAACUUUCAUCUUCAAUCGCGCGAUAACAGCUGGUCGAGCCUGCGAUCCCCCCGAUUCUCUCACGAAUAUUGUUCUUCAUUUCAUGAUCAUCUGACUUAUAUUAAUAAUACAUUCUUAGCAUUCUGUUUCCCUCAUCUUUCCAAAAUGUUUCCAAGCUUCUUCUUUGAUAUUCGAACCCAGUCAUUGCUUUGCUGAAAAAUUUCCAUGUAUUUGAUUAUUCUUUCUUCCCUACAACGCGGUUUGCUAUGACUCUGUUAUGGUAUUCAAGUUUGAGCUUCUCCCAUUUCACCCAUCACCAAAUUUCGAAUCAGUUUUAAUUAUUUCAUGGCGCCGAGAAAGAUGAAGUUGCAGAUACAGCAGCAAUUGGUGGCGCAGAAACCAGAAAUGAAGCUGAAGGGUUUCAAGCAAAAUGCCAAACGCUCCAGGCAUCACAUAUAUUAUAAUAAGGGUAAACACAUAUUAUUAUUUAUUAUUAUCUAAUUUAGUUAAGAUUUAUUAGAGAAUGUAUUAGAUAUUUGUAGAUACUCUAGUAACUAAUUUCUAUUUGAUGAUGGGCUAAUUAGAAAUUAGGGGUAAUGUGCCAAAGUUAUAUAUAUUAAGGUUAUGAUCCUAAAUUACACCUAAGUUAAACUUUUUUAAUAUCACAUCUUUAGAAUAGAGAGAGUUACUCUUUUCAAGAUUACUUGUAUGACCUUGGUUUACAGUUUUAUGUUUAUAUUAGAUCUUGUUUUUACGAUUCUAACAAGUGACAACCGAGCCUAAUCAUGUUGAAUCAUUGAGAAUGAAUUGAUUCUCUAUUAUUUUUUGACUGAUUUAUUUUUCAGAUGUUAUAAAUUUGAUAUUUCGAUUAUAAACCUUAAAUAUUUUAAAUUUAUAUUAAAGAUUUUAGGAAUUGGGCAAGUGAUGAUAUUUAUGAGGAUUGAUGUUGAAAUGGUAGGGGUUUUAAUUUUUUUUUUAUGAAUUUGGUUUUUGAGGAAAUUGUUGUGUGAAUCAAAUUAUAGUUUAUUUAUAUUAAAGUUUUGUUAAAAGUCAUGUUGAUGUUUGGGUUUCAUUAUGAAACCAUAUACAUUGAUUUUUCUUUAACUAAUUAUGCAUUCAUUUUUUUCUUAAAAAAAGGAUUUUUUUUUUGUUUUAUUCUCGAAUAAACCUUAACGUAGAAUUUGUUGGGCAGUUAAAUUCUGCUAAUAUUCGAAUUGAAUUUAAAUUAUGAAUAAAUCAUCUAUGUUUCAACCGUGUUGCUUUGGUGUUAAUUCUGUUCUUUAAUGGCAUUAGAUAAAUAAGUCUGCCACGUUGGCAAAGUUAAGAAUGAAUAAAUUUAAUUUAGUACUCAAUGUAGCGAGUUCUUAUGGUUUUGAUUUUUAUAUUUAGGUAAAAUACAUAUAUAUGUGUUUGUAUUAAACUCUUGUUUGAUUCAAUUUAGUUUUGGAUUAUUGUUAUGGUUAUCAACUUUCGUCAAAUUAGUUUAAUGGACAUUCGUUAAAGGUGUUAUUGUUUUGAUGUGGAUAUAUAUAUAUAUAUAUAUAUAUAUAUAUUUGGUUUAAACUUUUGUCAAUUAUAAUAUAUAUUUAAAGAAUUUGGUUUUAAGUUUGGUUCUAUAAUUUUAGGUUUUGGCAUCUUAUUGUUCCAAAUAUUUGGUUAAAUUAUGAUGAUAUGAUUUAUUGUACAAGUUGUGGUAUAUGUCAAUUAUUAUUAUUUUGAUUUUGAAAAUUUUAGUUUAAUAGUUUUAAAUUUUAUAUGCUUUUGGAUCAAAUGCAGUAAAUGAUUUAUGGAUUUAUGCUAUUAUUAAAAAAAAUAUAUAUUUUUCGGUUACAAAUUUUUUUUAAGUAUUCAUGCAUAUAAAGGUUUUUUUAUGCUAACCCACUUAAUUAUAAAUUCAGUUUUGGAGUUAUAUGUAGAUGUAGAGUAAGUUGGUAAUAUUUUUAUUAUAUGCAUAUAUAUAUCAAUGAAUUUAAGGGAAUAAUGCAUGAUUUUAUUUUGCAUGAAUUGAUAUUGAUUUUAACGGCACGAUUAUAAACUUUGGUCGAAUUUAGUUUUGACAUAUAUGGUUUAAAAAAAAUUAGUUGAAGAUUAAGGUUUUCGGGUUUUUAAUUGCACUAUUAAGACAACUUUAUUUUGGGUUAUUUGGAAACUGUAGUGCAAUAACAAAAUUUAGUUUUGAUAUUUGACUAUUGGGUAAAUUUUAAAUUUGAAUAUUGAUAUAAUUAUAUAUAUUAAAAUAACUUAAUUGAAUCAAUAAGUCGCCAAAGUGAUCUUUUUUGUAUAAAUUAUUUUGUUUUAAAAUAUAAAAGGUUGUAUGCAUGUAACUUAAGUUACGUUAAUAUUGAUCGGCCCAAAUGAAGGCUAAUAAUAUUACAUAUGCAACUAUGGUAAUAAACAUGUGACAAUUAUUUAGUUUUACAUGCGAGCAAUAAAUUGGCCCAAAGGAAGAUUUAUGGUUCAACAUGUUCUUAUUGUUAAUGUUUGAUUAUUACACCAAGAUAUCACUUACAAGUUAAUAUUUUGUCCAAAGAUGAAAUAUUAAUGGAGUGUCUGAUAUCUUAAGAUGAGGUUUACCUUUAUUUAAAUUUGAAGUCUUAUGUGAGGUUGUUUAUGAUUUAUUCAACUAUUAUUAUAUUUGCCAACAUCAUUGUAUGUUAUUUUGGGAUAAAUAUAUACACAUAUAUAUACUAUUAUCUUUUAAUUUGAUUGAAAGAUGAAAUUAAGAGAAAUAUUUUGAAACAAAUAAAUUCAUUUUUUGGCUUUAGGUUUUAAUUAAAGAUGUCUAAUAUUUUAAAUAGAUUAGUUGAAACAAAAUGUCGCCAAAGUGACAUCUUUUGUGUAGAUUAGUUUAUUUAAAAUAUCAAGAUGAUUAUACGUUUUUGUGAUUCAUGCGUUUAUUAAUUGACUCAACGGUAAGUUAAUAUAUGACAGAAUUUCAACGACAUCUGUGGUGAUAAAUGUGUGGCAAUUAUAAGGUAAUUUAUGUGAACAAUAAGUUAGUCUAAAGAGUAAUUCAUUGUUUGACAUAGUUUAUUGUCAAUGUUUGAUUGCUGCAACAAGAGUACCAUUUACUGUUAAUAUUACUGUCCAAAAACUUGAUAUUAAUGUUGUGUUUGGUAUCUUGAGAUGGGAUUAGUCAUUAUCUUGAAUUUAUUAUUUACUUAUGAAUAUUGAUGUAAGCUUAUUUUUAUUUAUUUUUGUUCUAUAUUCAGCUAGUUCAUCUUUUGCUGCCAUAAUAUUGCUAACAUAACUUCUAUACCCAUGCUUAAUGGGAUUAAUUUCAAGGAAUGGAAAAAGACACUUAUAGUGCUUGGUUGUAUGGACAUAGAUCUUGCACUAAGGGAAUAACAACCCUCACCUUUCACUGCGGAAAGCACCCCUGAUACAAAUAGGGAUUUUGAGAUGUGGGAUCGUUCAAAUUGCAUGAGUCUAGUGAAUAUGAAGCAUAACAUUCCAGAAGCCUUUAAGGGCACAAAAUCUGAAAAGAUUACUUAGGCCAAGGGUUUCCUUGACGAAAUUGAGAAAUGUUUUGCUAAAAAUGAUAAGGUUGAGAUGACUUCAUUUCUGACUUCUUUGAUGUCUAUGAAGUAUAAGGGUCAAGAAAAUUCUGAGCGAUCUAGGGGCUAUGAGUUUUAUGAUCCCACAAUUAAGAAUAUUUUUGAGACAAAAAUUGCAACAUUUUUUAGGAUGUUGAGUUUGGAGGGAGAAAUAAGGUUAGAGACAUUGUUUUUGAGGAGGAAUUAAAUUCUAACUCAGUUCCUACUAUCACUUUUGAUGAUGUUCAAGUCUUCAUACCUAUCAUUAAUCAAAAAGUGAAUCUAGAACCUUAACAAGACAAUGUUAAACAACUCCCUAUUUAAGAUGAGGUAAUUGUUCCAGAAGAACAAACUGAACAACCUCAAGAACGAAUGUCAUUAAAAAGGCCCACUAGAGAAAGGGUUAUAAUGGCUUUAAUGGAAUAUUUUUGACCUUAAACUGUAUUAGAUGAAUGUUAAGUUAAUGGUUUCUUAAUGGUAACAUUGAUUAUACAUUUAUAUGGUGGAACUAGAAAACUGUGUCUGAUGAUGCAAAGUUAAUGACUUGGAAAUUCAAGAACUCCAUCUAUGGGCUUAAGCAAACUUCUCGUCAAUAGUUUUACAAAUUUUACCAGAUGAUUAUCUCAUUCGGUUUAGAGAUGGAUUUGGUAGAUAACUGUAUAUACCCCAAGUUCAGUGGGAGUAAGGUUCUGUAUUUGGUUUUAUAUGUUAAUGGCAUACUGCUUGUCAAUAAUAAGUUAAGUCUCGACCAAUACCCCAAGAAUGAUUUUGAGAUUAAGGAAAUGCAUAAGAUUCCUUACGUCUCAAGGGUGGGGAGUCUAAUGUAUGUUUAGGUUUGUACACAUUUGAAUAUUAUGUACACCAUUGGGAUGUUAGGUAGAUAUUUAAAAAACCUUGGUUUGGACCUUUGGAUAACAUCCAAGAGAGUUAUGAGGUAUCUUCACAGAAUAAAAAUUACAUGCUCACAUAUUAGAGGUUUGAUAAGUUAGAGAUCAUCUAGUACACAGACUUUGAUUUUGAUGGAAUAUUGACACAAAAUUUUGUCACUAGGGUGCAAAUUGUGACAAUAGUUGGUAGUCCUUUAUUCCAAUAACAACAGGAGCACAUCAAAGUCAAAGCACAUAGACUUUAAGUUCCUAGUUGUUAAAGUGAAAUAUCAAAGUGGUUAGGUUUCUAUAAAGCAUAUUAGGACAAACUCCAUAAUUACGGAUCCGCUUACUAAGGGACUACACCUAAGGUUUUUCAGGAGCACAUUGCUCAUAUAGGUGUAAUGUCAUUUAAGGAUAUUUGGUUUUAGUGGGAGUUUUUACUUUUAAAUGCUUUUAUGUUAUAGACACAUUUUCAGUUAUUUUAGUUUAUGGAUAUCAAGUUUAUUUUCUAUAGAAAUAACGUUUAUUUGGUUUAUUCACACUCUGGUUUUGGUAAGGUUUGAUCUCAUUAAGGCUUCAGAAGGACCAUUUGAAAAUAGACAUGUUUAGAUCAUAUUGCAUGUAAUUUCCAUGCUACACAUCCAUACUUGAUCUAUGUCAUUUGGCUGUGUUAAUAUACGUGAUCAAUGAUGGAUUUAGUUACGAUAUAUGUAACGAAAGUCGCAUUGGUUCUAUGUUAACAUAAUUAAUGGGUAAGAUUGUUCAGAAUACCUUUUGGAUAUGAUAGUAAAUUUUUGAGCUCAUAAGGUUAUAUAAUGACAUGUAAUUAUAGAGUAAUUAGUAUAUAUAUGUGGUCCAAGUGGGAGAUUGUUGGAAAAUAUAGACAUCACAUAUAUAAUAAAGGUAAUUACAUGUUAUUAUUUACUAUCAUAAUAGGUUAGCCCAAAUGAAAAGUGAUCUAAUUUGGUUAAGGUUUAUUGGGCUUUAAUUAUUAAAUAAAGUAUAGGUCAAAUAUGUGUAGAUACUCUAGUAACUAAUUUCUAAUUGAUGAUGGGCUGAUCAGAAAUUAAGGCUAAUGUGCCAAAGUUAUAUUUAUUAGGGUUAUAAUCCCAAAAUUACACACAAUGUAACUUUUCUAAUAUCCCAUCUUUAGAAAAGAGAGAGCCACAUUUUCAAGAUUACUUGUGUGCUAAUUUUGAAGAUCAAAUCCCCAAGAUAUGAAAAUUUUCAAAGAAUCCAUGGAUUCAGGUACGUUUCUGCAUCUAGUUUUGUUAUCGAUUUGUUCUUGAUGAUUUGACAUGACAGAUCCUAGUUGACAGUUUUAAGCUUAUAUUAGAUAUUGUUUUUACGGUUCUAACAAGAUGAGCAAACAAAAAUAAGAGCAAAGUUUGUAGAGUUUAAAAGGUAAUGUGAUAGAAUGAAACAAGAGACUGAAAUGAUGAUUAAACGAACAACUAGGACCCAACUCAAGCUAACUCUCAUGUUCAGUAUCUUUAAAGCAUGUCAAGGUGGAUAUUUUGUUAAAGUUACUGAGUUCACUUACUUGCUUCGGUUAGUUUAAUUAAUUUCUCAUUACAUAAAACUAUAUGUAAUUCAUGUCAUUAAUUAAGAUUGCAGGUAAACUUGCUUUUGUUUCUAAAUUUUGGUAGCAGUGAAAUUGUUGGUAAGGAAAAAGCAUAUGCAAGUUUGAAUCAAGUGAAAGAUGAAACCUAGCGUGAAAAAGUAUGCAACAAAUAGAGAAGAAGACGAAAACUUAAAGACAUUAAGAAGAACUGAAAAGAUAAAAGAACUUAGUAUGAAAAGAUUUUAGUGUUUCAUUCAAAAGAUUCUAAAAUCUCAGCAAUGGAGAUGAAUCAUAUUUAUACACAGAGAUAAAAGAGUGAAUUGAAAAAUAAAAAAAAUAAUUGAUUCUUGAAUCAAAUACAACAACAAACUUCUUAAUUGUACUAACUAAUCUUCAACCGACACUAACAGCUUAACUGUAACCUUUAGCUCACUAUUUGAUUACAAUCACUCACUACUCACUAAUAUUCAUCCAACUUUUUUUUACUUCCAUGGAGCCUUGUAACAUUCACCUAGCUUGUUGAAGUUCUGCUAACUCUUGUAGCCUUGCUAAAGACAGAACUCCCAGUUUGCUUUUGAAGUGAGUAAAGGAUGUAACAAAUAAGGUUUGGUGAACACAUCAACAAUUUGAUCAUUGGCUGAAACCUGGCCAACUACAAGCUUACCUGUAGCAACCUUCUCACGAACAAAAAACAAGUCUAGUUCAACAUGUUUAAACUUAGAAUGCAACACGGGAUUGGUUGCAACAUCCACUAUGCUAGAAUUAUCACACCAAAUAGUAGUUUUGUCUAUAAAAGAAACUUGCAACUCACUAAGUAAUGAUUCCAACCAAAUUAUAUCACCUAUAGCAUAAGAAAUGUUUUAGUACUCAGCCUUAGCAGCUGACCUAGAAACAACCUACUAUUUCUUAGCACACCAAGGCAUCGAAUUUGUAACAGCCCGAUUCUGGGUCUAAUCGGAACAGUGGUUUCGGGACCACAAAUCCGACAAGGGAAAAUAUGAUUAUUAUUAUAUUUUUAUAUUUUUAUGGUCUACAAUUUUACGGAAAAAUUUCGUUAAAAAAUUUCGACGUUUGGGCACUCAAUUUAGUCAAAAGGACUAAAUUGUAAAAAGUGCAAAAGUUGAGUUCUACAUGUUAGAAGUGUCAAAUUGUUAUGAAAUUCUAAAUUGGAGGUUUUUCUGUUGUAAUUAGACCAUUAGUUAAUUUAUGGACAAAAAUGGGCAUAGAAUUAGUAAAAUAGAUUUUUUUUAAGUAAGGGUAUUUUAGUCAUUUAGUAAUAAAAAGAAAUAAAAUGGGAAAAAGAUGGAGAAAUGGUGUCAUCUUCUCCAUAGUUGCUGCCAAAUUUUGGAAGACACCAUAGCUAGGGUUUCUUUGCUUUCUCAAGCUCAUAGUAAGUGCAUCCUAGCCCCGUUUUUAAUGUUCUUCGCAUUUUUAAAAUCCUCGUAGCUCGGUUUAGCUUAUUUUAUCAAUAAUUCAUGUUAGGGUUCAUAUUUGGAAAAAUACCCAUAGGUGAAAUGUGUUUAUUUUGCUGUUUUAUGGUAGAAUAUGAAACUAUAAAUUAUGUUAAACAACUUUUGCUAAGCGAUUUUAAGCGAAAACGGGUAAAUAGACAUAAUCGGUAAAAAUAAUUAAUGUUCAAAAGUAUGUGUUAGAGUGGGAAUUUGAUGUUGCCAUAGAAGGGAAAAAUGUUCAGCAUGUCAUAAAACAUAAGAAUAAGAGAUGAAGUUUAAUUUCCGAGCUUGGGGACAAAAGUGUAAUUAUGCAAAAGUUUGGGGGCAAAAUUGUAAUUUUUCAAAAAGUUGGGUGGUGGAUUAUUUUAAUAAAUGUGAACAUUAAAUGAGUUAAAUUUGCCAUUAUAGAUCAAGAUAGACGAGAAGACUACCUCAAACGGGGAAAAGAGAAGAUAGUGGAGUAAAUUGCAAAAUUUCGAUAUUUUGCACCGAGGUAAGUAAACAUGUGAAAUAAUGCAUUAUUUUGAUAUUAUUUGAUAUGUGUUGAGAUUUAUUUGAACAUAGAAUAAAUAUUUGGCAAAGAUUCAAAAAAAAUGUGGCUCAGUGGGGAAAGGUGGUAAAGUGUUGAAAAACACGGUUUCCUGUUGAACACUCGGAAUAGGCCAGAUUACAUUGAAUAAAAAGGGGGUUGCUAAGUGCUGAUUCCCCCAAGGGGUUGCUAAGUGCUGAUUCCCCUAUUCAUUGGUGGUUGCUAAGUGCUGAUUCCACCGUAUCUUAAAUGUGAAGAGGGUUGCUAAGUGCUGAUUCCCCUGAGGGGUUGCUAAGUGCUGAUUCCCCGAAUCAUUGGUGGUUGCUAAGUGCUGAACCCACCGUAUCUUAAAUGUGAAAGGGGUUGCUAAGUGUUGAUUCCCCGACUCAUUGGUGGUUGCUAAGUGCUGAAUCCACUGAUAACGGUUAACAUUCCGAGUGUUCAACGAGUAAAUUGGGAAGGUGAAUAUUUAUAUGUGGUGGAAAAGUUUAUGGAAGAAAUAUUGGGUUUGAUACUUAAUCGACCCAUGUAUAGGAUGGGAGGAAAUAUGAAAAAUGCAAAAGAAACAAUUUAAAUACAAAACUCUAUUGAACAACAGCAGUUGGGAAACUUUGAAAAAUCACCAUAAAUGGUGGGAAAUGAAUUGGAGGUUGAAUAAUAUAUUAAAUUGAAGCUGGAUGAGUCUAUUUUCAUAUGAAAGAAAUAUAUCAAGCAAAAGAGUUGUAUAUUUGGGGAUAUUUGAAUUUUAUUGAGACAGGGUUGGAUUGAUUUCGAAAUCCCCUGUUCCAACUUUGGAAAAUCACCAAAAUUGUAUAAAAAUAUUUAUGACUUGAAAUUUAUAUGACUGGAUUCCUUAAUGAGUCUAGUUUUAAUAGAAACAAACGAGAACAUUGUUUGAAUUUUGUACAGAGAGUUAAGUAAAUUUUAGUAAAGGGAGGUCAGAACUGUCGGGCAGUGAAACAGGGGAAAGUUUAAAGAAUAAACUGUACUAAUUGGCUAAACCGAAAAUUCUAAAAAUUUUAUGGUGGUAAGGUAUAUGGGUCUCAUUUUGGGGAAAAUUUACAGAAUCCAAUUUGGAGCCCUGUAGCUCCAGAUAAAAAUAAAUUAGUGACCAUGACGCAGAAAAACAGCUUGCUGGAAAUUGAGCAAAUAAUGAAAUUUAUGUGUGAAUAAAAUUAUGUUACUAUGUAAUCAUGUGAGGAGUUUAUUUAUUUGUCAUAUGUUUACUUACUAAGCUAUAUGCUUACUCGUUUUUACUUUCCCUUGAUUAUAGUGACAUCAAUCAGCUCGGAACUUGGACGACGUCAGAUAAUCAUCCACACUAUCAUCAACUUUUUGGGUAUUUUGCAACUAAUACUUUGGAAACAUGGCAUGUAUAGAUGACUUUAUGUAUUGUGGUUUAAAUUUGUAUAUAUAUAGUAUGGUUUGGUUUAAAUGUUGGUGUUUGUUAAUGGAUAAAUUGUCCUUGAAUAUACAACUGUAUUGGGUUGGAAUAUUGAAUAUGUUUGAAAUUGUGUUUGAAAAAUUUG
rnacentral:lncRNA from 1 species